rnacentral:lncRNA from 1 species
UAAAUUAACAUAUUUCCUCAAAUAGGAUUUCUUAGGACUUUUAGUAUGUAGUUCUAGACACCUCAUAGAAAUGAUCUAUGCUGAAAAAAAUUAUUUUACAAUUAUUUUUAUUUUUGGCUCCAAAAUGAGUUAGUUUGCCUGGACUAUUUGUUUUAUUCUCAACUUUUACAAAAGAGCACGGCCUGCUGGGAAAUCUGUUUGACGAAUCAUUUUAUUUCUCAUCGUGACGUUUCUCGAAUGUUAUUGCUAGGUUUGUCUUUCUGAGAGGUGGCGGUAAUGCACCGUUAAGUUGGUUUGCCAACCACCAUAAAACACAAAAAGAAGUCUUUCUGAGAGUGUCUCAUCUAACUUAAUAGUUGUUAACAGCCAAGCAACUUUAAUGUUCAGCAAGCCAAAAAGUGGUGCUCAGAAAUGAAAAAGAUAAGAAAGCUGCAGGUUGUGGCAUCAGUGAUUGACACUGUUAGAUGAUGGCUAGCUGGCAGCAUACAAUUCAAGCGAGUGUUUAAAUGGUCGGUAUAUAUGAUAUUAAAAAGUUAAAUCGGUUAUCCUAUAAUUGGGUCUAUUCUAUGCUACACUCAUAGGCUAUUUGUAUAGCGCAGUAGCGCUAUAGCAGAUGCGGCUUUAAGACUGGUGCGCAAAUAACAGCCUGUAACUGCUAUCUACGAAGCAAACAGCAUUUCACUUGCACGUUUAAGUAAUAGACAGUAAAUUAGAAUAAACGACAUAAAAAUAGAUGUACAUAAUAAACACAUAGAAUAAACACAUAAAAACUUACGUGCGGUAGCCUAGCUGGUCAGAUAAAUCUCCGUUGACAGCUUGGUUUGAUGAUAUUUUUUAUUAUUUUUUGGCGCUUCUGGCUGAAGUCCAUAGUACGGAUGUGGACCGUAUCUGCAAGACGACAGUCAAGCGAGACCCAACAUUCACUUGGCACUUUUGGCGCUGUCGUAAAACGGACCUACGGAGCUCAAACGGACCUGUGCUGUAACGGACCUUAUAGCAUCACAAAAUGUUGCUGUAUAGUUUUUAAACACUGAUAAUAUUGCUCAGCUUAAUGACAAUGCAUUUAUCUCAUGCUCUAGAUAGAAAAAAAAAUAUGCAGACAGGUAACCAUGUUGUUUUGAAAAUGUUUAUUCCACGGAGUUCUUCACACAGUUU